GUAGGAAUUUUGCACAAUGGGCGAAAGCCUGAUGCAGCAACGCCGCGUGGGGGAUGAAGGCCCUCGGGUUGUAAACCCCUUUCGAUGGGGACGAAGCGAAAGUGACGGUACCCAGAGAAGAAGCCCCGGCCAACUACGUGCCAGCAGCCGCGGUAAUACGUAGGGGGCGAGCGUUGUCCGGAUUUAUUGGGCGUAAAGAGCUCGUAGGCGGUUGCGGAAGUCGGAUGUGAAAUACCGGGGCUCAACUCCGGGGCGCCAUUCGAUACUCCGCUGACUCGAGUCCGGUAGGGGAAGGUGGAAUUCCUGGUGUAGCGGUGAAAUGCACAGAUAUCAGGAGGAACACCGGUGGCGAAGGCGGCCUUCUGGGCCGGUACUGACGCUGAGGAGCGAAAGCUAGGGGAGCGAACAG
rnacentral:rRNA from 1 species